CAGCCAUAUUAUAUUGAAACACUAGUUCCCAUAUGAUCACUGAAGUUAAGCAAUGUUGAGUUAAGUCAGUAGCUAGAUGGGUGACCACCUUGGAAUACCAGGUGCUGUAA